rnacentral:rRNA from 6 species
UAGUGGCGAACGGGUGAGUAACACGUGGGCAAUCUGCCCUUCACUCUGGGACAAGCCCUGGAAACGGGGUCUAAUACCGGAUAACACUCUUGCGGGCAUCUGUGAGGGUUAAAAGCUCCGGCGGUGAAGGAUGAGCCCGCGGCCUAUCAGCUUGUUGGUGAGGUAAUGGCUCACCAAGGCGACGACGGGUAGCCGGCCUGAGAGGGCGACCGGCCACACUGGGACUGAGACACGGCCCAGACUCCUACGGGAGGCAGCAGUGGGGAAUAUUGCACAAUGGGCGAAAGCCUGAUGCAGCGACGCCGCGUGAGGGAUGACGGCCUUCGGGUUGUAAACCUCUUUCAGCAGGGAAGAAGCGAAAGUGACGGUACCUGCAGAAGAAGCGCCGGCUAACUACGUGCCAGCAGCCGCGGUAAUACGUAGGGCGCAAGCGUUGUCCGGAAUUAUUGGGCGUAAAGAGCUCGUAGGCGGCUUGUCACGUCGAUUGUGAAAGCCCGAGGCUUAACCUCGGGUCUGCAGUCGAUACGGGCUAGCUAGAGUGUGGUAGGGGAGAUCGGAAUUCCU